rnacentral:piRNA from 1 species
UCUUUGAAACCAGGUGGGCGGGAGUGU